AAAAACCGCAACGCCUCAAGCUGACGAUGUUUCACGCACAAGUGCAGCACAGUCUGCCCGCGAUGCAGCCUCUCCAUCGCAGGGUUCAUGACUUGAUCGUCGAGCCACCACCGCAUCUCUGAGGCCGCAGAUAGCAAUUUUCGGGCAAUCUCAACGUGCCCUUGUGCAGCUGCGAUGUGAAGAGACGAAGACUUUUUGUAAUCAACAUCUCGAGCUAGCUCUGUGUUUAUCCUCAACAGCUCUUCCACUAUGCCCACUUGUCCAUGCAUUGUUGCUAUGUGUAGGAGAUUUCUUGAACGUGAAAAUGAAACUUGAUCGACAAGAAAUGGAUCUUGUUGUAGAAGUGUUUGGAAAGUUGAUAAAUCUCCCUUUGUUGCUGCAUCAUAUACUAGUUUCUUUUCUUCUACUUCCGCAACCA